rnacentral:lncRNA from 1 species
AUUUUUACAUGAUAGCUAUUAAUAUUAUUAUUAAGCACAUUAAUUUAAGAUAACGUGUCCAAUUAACUUCAGGGAAAAAUUGACUGACUUAACCCUGAUUAUAACCCAACAGAUAUGGAGCUGCUGCUGCUGCUGCUAAGUCGCUUCAGUUGUGUCUGACUCUGUGCGACCCCAUAGACAGCAGCCCACCAGGCUUCCCCGUCUCUGGGACUCUCCAGGCAAGACCACUGGAGUGGUUUGCCAUUGCCUUCUCCGAGAUAUGGAGCAGUGGUUCUCUAAAGAAAAAAACCUUUGUGAACCCUCAAAGGCCUUGUAAAUUUGUGCUCAGAUUCCAUCUUAAAAUAACUUCAAAAUUAAUGGCUGUGACUGGCAUGUGAGAAGAGUGAGGAGAAAUGACUUCAGUGGCCCCACAGGAGUUCGGAGCAGAGAACAGGGCAUCAUCUGGUCUGGCACUGUUCUUGGGCACCAAGUCCCUCGUCUACCACCACAAGAAGCCUCGACUACCCAGAGAUAAGGAAAGUAACUCAAGGAUGUUGGAAAAAGUACAAUAUGGACUAUGGCUUUGGGACUGGCAACUUCUGGACUCCCCAUUCCACUGCUGGUAAUGGCUCUUGACACCACAUAUGCUUUCCAGGAGUUUUUGAAGCUGAGCCCAAGAGGUUUCUCAGCUAUGCUUCCACAGUCUCUGCAGACAGCCAAGCACAUGCCCACUACAUUUACUGCCCUCUAAACAGCUUGAGCACCUUUAUCCGCUUUAAAUAUUAACCUUCUGGUUCAGACUAUAUUUAAAGGGUUCCACUUAACGCACCUCAUUCAGUUUCUGAAAACCAGUUAGAUUUCUGGAGUCAGAGUUCGAUUCUGCAUGACACUGACCACCUUCAGCUACAUUUUUUGGGUAACUCCAUCUAUGCCAGAGCACUAUUUGUAUGGUACAAUUUCUCCUCUUAUAAAAUAGAGAAGAUGUGCUUUCAUCCUUGCAGGAUAAGUGUGAUGGUGAAUAAGAUAAAAGCUAAAUUUACUCAGAGAUAAAAAAUGCAUAUUAAGUGUUAUAACUACACAUCAAUAGACUCCAUUUUUGAUUGUGGUUUCAAGAGUAUUAGGCUAUCUGCUGGCUUCACUCAUCUUACCCCUUUGGUAAGACUGGCUCUUAUAUUUUCUGUAUAGUUCAGUUCAGUUCAGUCGCUCAGUCAUGUCCGACUCUUUGCUACCCCAUGAAUCGCAGCACGCCAGGCCUCCCUGUCCAUCAUCAGCU